UGGGAGAAGGAGGUGCAUUACGUCAGGAUUAGGUCUCAGCCGGUGUUGUGCCGAAUUCUGCACCCCCGCCGUAAAAUGCACCCCCUGUCGGGAGCGCGCUUACGUCACUCGGUUGCAUCACCCGUCUCGAAAAGUAGCUAAACUCGGCUAAAAUCGCCUCUUUCGGCAUAAAAAUGUACAUAACAAGGUGAAUAAUCCAAGUUGUCUUUACUUUGGAUAUAUUAAUGGAUGGAUUAAUUGUGAUUCUUUAAUGAUUUCGCCGCCAUUGCCUUUAAUGAUUUCGUCGUCAUUCAAUCGCCUCUUUCGGCAGAAAAAUGUACAUAACAAGGUGAAUACUCCAAGUUGUCUUUACUUUGGAUAUAUUAAUGGAUGGAUUAAUUGUGAUUCUUCAAUGAUUUCGCCGUCAUUGCCUUUAAUGAUUUCGUCGUCAUUCAGAGACAUCAAGGAGAACGAAUGUUUGCUGCUUCACUCGACGGGAUCCAAUACAUGUAUUUUAAAAAUAUGACAUUUUCUUUAACUGUAAGAAGCUCAUGGGUGGAUGGAUGAAUACAUUAAUAAAUGAAUGCAUCUGA